rnacentral:rRNA from 1 species
UACGAAGGGGGCUAGCGUUGCUCGGAAUCACUGGGCGUAAAGCGCACGUAGGCGGAUUGUUAAGUCAGGGGUGAAAUCCUGGAGCUCAACUCCAGAACUGCCUUUGAUACUGGCGAUCUCGGAGUCCGGGAGAGGUGAGUGGAACUGCGAGUGUAGAGGUGAAAUUCGUAGAUAUUCGCAAGAACACCAGUGGCGAAGGCGGCUCACUGGCCCGGUACUGACGCUGAGGUGCGAAAGCGUGGGGAGCAAACAGG